rnacentral:rRNA from 1 species
UACGUAGGGGGCAAGCGUUGUCCGGAAUCAUUGGGCGUAAAGAGCGCGUAGGCGGCCCAGUAAGUCCGCUCUGAAAGUCAGGGGCUCAACCCCUGGAUGCGGGUGGAUACUGCUGGGCUAGAGUCCGGAAGAGGCGAGUGGAAUUCCUGGUGUAGCGGUGAAAUGCGCAGAUAUCAGGAGGAACACCGGUGGCGAAGGCGGGUCUCUGGGCCGAAACUGACGCUGAGGAGCGAAAGCGUGGGGAGCGAACAGG